CUUCCCUCUGACUGACCCCUCGGUGAUACACUGGGGUGGACAGAGAGAGACAUGACGACCAUGGUGGCUGUGAAGCAAUCCUGACAGUAACUGACUUCCCCUGGGGCUGCCAACCCUGCUAUACACACACUGACCGGAUGCUUGUCAGUGGCUGCCUGGUGCCAAUCAAAGGUCAAAGGGCCUACUGACAGAGAAGAGAAAGAAGUUGCCCACAUUGUUGGCCAGGGCCUGUUUGGUGCUGCCAAGGGACUGGCUGCUGCUCCUGUGUGAGCAUGCAGGUGAGCAGGGGCCCUACUGCCAAGCCACACCCCUUACCACCACAGCAACCGAGAGAAAGCUGGCAGGGCCACACAGUCUCAGAAGUACUUCAAGGGGUAGGAGGCACUUAAAAAUGACGGAG
rnacentral:lncRNA from 1 species